rnacentral:rRNA from 1 species
UACGGAGGGUGCAAGCGUUAUCCGGAUUCACUGGGUUUAAAGGGUGCGUAGGAGGGCAGGUAAGUCAGUGGUGAAAUCUCCGUGCUUAACAUGGAAACUGCCAUUGAUACUACUGAUCUUGAAUUUUCAGGAGGUAAGCGGAAUAUGUCAUGUAGCGGUGAAAUGCUUAGAUAUGACAUAGAACACCAAUUGCGAAGGCAGCUUACUACAGGAAUAUUGACACUGAUGCACGAAAGCGUGGGGAGCAAACAGG